GUGCUCGCUUCGGCAGCCCAUAUACUAAAACUAGUACGAUACAGAGAAGAUCAGCAUGGCCCUUGUGCAAGGAUGACACGCAAAUUCGAGAAGCGUUCCAUAUUUUA
ensembl:snRNA U6 U6 spliceosomal RNA